rnacentral:rRNA from 1 species
AGAGCGAACGCUGGCGGCAGGCUUAACACAUGCAAGUCGAGCGGGCGUAGCAAUACGUCAGCGGCAGACGGGUGAGUAACGCGUGGGAACGUACCUUUUGGUUCGGAACAACCCAGGGAAACUUGGGCUAAUACCGGAUAAGCCCUUACGGGGAAAGAUUUAUCGCCGAAAGAUCGGCCCGCGUCUGAUUAGCUAGUUGGUGAGGUAAUGGCUCACCAAGGCGACGAUCAGUAGCUGGUCUGAGAGGAUGAUCAGCCACAUUGGGACUGAGACACGGCCCAAACUCCUACGGGAGGCAGCAGUGGGGAAUAUGGACAAUGGGCGCAAGCCUGAUCCAGCCAUGCCGCGUGAGUGAUGAAGGCCCUAGGGUUGUAAAGCUCUUUGUGCGGGAAGAUAAUGACGGUACCGCAAGAAUAACGCCCCGGCUAACUUCGUGCCAGCAGCCGC